rnacentral:rRNA from 1 species
AACGAACGCUGGCGGCGCGCCUAAUACAUGCAAGUCGAGCGAGAAGACGUAGCAAUACGUUUGUAAAGCGGCGAACGGGUGAGGAAUACAUGGGUAACCUACCCUCGAGUGGGGAAUAACUAGCCGAAAGGUUAGCUAAUACCGCGUACGCUCCUUGGACUUCGGUUCAGGGAGGAAAGCGAUACCGUGGGUAUCGCGCUCUUGGAUGGGCUCAUGUCCUAUCAGCCUGUUGGUGAGGAACGGCUCACCAAGGCUUCGACGGGUAGCUGGUCUGAGAGGACGAUCAGCCACACUGGCACUGCGACACGGGCCAGACUCCUACGGGAGGCAGCAGUAAGGAAUAUUGCGCAAUGGGCGAAAGCCUGACGCAGCGACGCCGCGUGGGGGAUGAAGGUCUUCGGAUUGUAAAACCCCUUUCGGGAGGGAAGAUGGAACGAGCAAUCGUUCGGACGGUACCUCCAG